CACGUAUGGGGCAAGCGUUGUUCGGAAUUAUUGGGCGUAAAGGGUAUGCAGGCGGCUUAACAAGUCUGGUGUGUAAGACCUCAGCUUAACUGGGGGAGCGCGCUGGAAACUGUUUGGCUAGAGUACAGGAAGGGGAGCUGGAAUUCCUAGUGUAGGGGUGAAAUCUGUAGAUAUUAGGAAGAACAUCAGUGGCGAAGGCGAGCUUCUGGCCAUGUACUGACGCUGAGAUACGAAAGCGUGGGGAGCGAACAGG
rnacentral:rRNA from 1 species